rnacentral:rRNA from 1 species
AUUGAACGCUGGCGGCAUGCUUUACACAUGCAAGUCGAACGGUACAGGUCUUCGGAUGCUGACGAGUGGCGAACGGGUGAGUAAUACAUCGGAACGUGCCCGAUCGUGGGGGAUAACGAAGCGAAAGCUUUGCUAAUACCGCAUACGAUCUACGGAUGAAAGCGGGGGAUCGCAAGACCUCGUGCUCAUGGAGCGGCCGAUAUCUGAUUAGCUAGUUGGUGGGGUAAAGGCUCACCAAGGCAACGAUCAGUAGCUGGUCUGAGAGGACGACCAGCCACACUGGAACUGAGACACGGUCCAGACUCCUACGGGAGGCAGCAGUGGGGAAUUUUGGACAAUGGGGGCAACCCUGAUCCAGCAAUGCCGCGUGAGUGAAGAAGGCCUUCGGGUUGUAAAGCUCUUUUGUCAGGGAAGAAACGACUCCUUCUAAUACAGGGGGUUAAUGACGGUACCUGAAGAAUAAGCACCGGCUAACUACGUGCCAGCAGCCGCCGUAAGAC